UUUAUUCUCUCAUCCCCCAUCACUCUCUCCUUCUUCCUCGCCUUUACUUAUUUCACUGAUCUCUGCUCCAACGAAAAAAAAAUACGGUAAAUCAUUCCCACUUCCGCUAUCACCAAAACACCACCACUAUGAACUAAGCUUGCAGAUUUUUCUCGGUGAUUGAAGGUGUUUUUUACACAGAUCUGAUGGAUUUUUUACAGGGAGGACAAGAAUGAGUAGAAGUUGGUUUUAGUGGCGGUGGUGAUGAAGAAUACUCAAUCAUGGCUGAACAGGUUUAUUGGAAGGAACUUGAGGUAUCCCAAUGAUCGAAAGCCUCCUGGAAAGGGAGGAAACCAAUAAUACAAGAAUGCUGGUUUGGGAUUCAAGACUUCCAAAGAGGCCAUUGAAGGUCAUAUUGAAUUCAAAGUUUCUUUCAACAAUAUUAAAAAUGACUAAUACAGAUAGAAAGUCUUUCUCCUUCAAUACGGCAUUGCAUACAUAUUUUAGUGCUUCUGUUAUAGUGGCCUUAGUGGAUGCUCGCCUAGGUUAUAGGACGCUGAACAAGGAUCCAGACCCUAUGGCUUCGUUUAGUCUCGCUUACUUGUUCAUAUUGUUUCCUUUUCAGGGUAUAUGCUCUCUACGUGACACAGAACAAGAUGAUAACAAGUGGCCCCUUGUCAUGACUAGUUGGAAGGUAGAUGGAUGGUAUUGAUAAGUCUGGACUAGAUUGUCUCUCCCUAGAUUUGCAAUGUUGUUCCCAAGCAUUGGGAACUUGUCAAUAGUUUGGGAGUAUUUGGUAUCCUUUUGUAGUUUAUUUCUGUCAUAUGGAUGCAAAUAAAAUAGCAUAGCAAAUUGUAAUAGACUCUUAAGUGUGGUGUGUAAGGUAGUAGUUUCUGCACACUGGGGUGUUUGCAAAAUUUGCCAAGGUUUAGGCUUUUAUGUUCUACUUGCUGUGCAGUUUGUGUAUUCACGAUGAUCCACUUCAGGAUUUUAAUACUUUGGUUUAUGUUGGUAAAGUGCAGAUCCUACAAGAAUGUUGAUUUGGGAUUCAAGACUCCUGGAGAAGCUACUGAAGGUAUGUUGUUCUGAAAUUGUUGGCUCAAUUCAUCAUCCGGAAGGAUCUCGUUUUGCUAGUUGCAUUUGUCUUUAUGAACCUUAGAACUUAAAUAUAUGACUUGUAUGAAUUCAGGACUUGAUCAUUUAUUUUCUUUUGUGAUUUAGAACCCGACUGUAAGUUGAAUUUAGUUAUGAAUUGUGUAACAAAUACAAUGAUUUUUAUAUAAUGGCCAUUUGAGUUUAUAAAUCCAAG